rnacentral:lncRNA from 1 species
CAAUGGCAACCUUCAAAUCCAUCAUAUCAUAGUAUGCAUGUGCAAUUUCAAACUGAAUCUGUCUGUUUACCAACAGAUAAUACUGCGGAUUCAGAUCUACAAUUAAGGGCUCUAGCAUUGCUAUUCUGCGUUUAUGCAUCUUGCACCGCCUCUCCAUGUCAGUUUCAAAGAAUGCAAGCACCUUGAACAGAGAACUGUAGUCUUGGACAACUUCAAUAUGGUCAGUGACAUACCCAUCAAACUGGAAGAACUCUUUUGCCUCAAAGACAUAGUGCUGACCCAACAAGAAAAGUUCCCUGGCUUCUUCAAAAUCUAAAGGUCUCAAAUAUCUCACUUUCUCUUCUACUGCAGAGAUGGCAUCACACAGUUCCCCAGUUCCAAACUGCACAGCUUUUUUCCUAAUGUUCUCUUCCUCAUCUAGUUCUUUUUUCCUUAAAGCUCUAAGUUCAGACUGUUUGUCAAGAUCAAGCUCUCCUAUAUUGUCCUGAAAGAAAAAGAUAGGUUAUGGUUAAGUAGGUCACUUAUCUCCAAUUGUCAAAUAAAACUUAAAGAGUAAAGAAAACUCUUUUACUUCUCAGCCUGGCUAAGGGAAGUAUAAUGUUUUUUUGUUUUCAAUACUGGGAACAGAACUCAGGGCCUUGGUCAUGCUAGGCAAGCAUCCUACCCCUGAG